UAUCUAAUUGGCGGAGCAAUCGCAUUAAAUUUAGAAUUUAAUCAUACCUUA
rnacentral:tRNA from 1 species